UACGUAGGGUGCGAGCGUUAAUCGGAAUUAUUGGGCGUAAAGAGCUCGUAGGCGGUCUGUCGCGUCUGUUGUGAAAACUCGAGGCUCAACCUCGGGCUUGCAGUGGAUACGGGCAGACUAGAGUGCGGUAGGGGAGACUGGAAUUCCUGGUGUAGCGGUGGAAUGCGCAGAUAUCAGGAGGAACACCGAUGGCGAAGGCAGGUCUCUGGGCCGCAACUGACGCUGAGGAGCGAAAGCAUGGGGAGCGAACAGG
rnacentral:rRNA from 1 species